ACCAGACUGCUGGUCAUGCCUGCCAUCAAGGACCCUGACCCGACUGUGUACCAGCUGAGAAACUCUAAAUCCAGAAACACUGUCUGCCUAUUCACCGAUUUUGAUUCUAACACCAACGUGUCAUUACAACUUACCAAGGAUUCUGAAAUGUUUGUCUCCAAAAACACUGUGCUGGACAUGAAGUCCAUGGAUUCCAAGAGCAACGGCGCCUUGGCCUGGAGCAACAAAACUGACUUCACUUGUAAGAGUGCCUUCACCCAGAACAUCUUCUUCCCCAGCUCAGAGAUUCCCUGUGAUGCGAAGUUGGUAGAGAAAAGCUUUGAAACAGAUAUAAACCUAAACUUUCAAAACCUGUCAGUGAUGGGGCUCCGCAUCCUCCUCCUGAAAGUGGCUGGCUUUAACGUACUCAUGACGCUACGGCUGUGGUCCAACUGAGGUCGGCAAGAUUAUAAGGACCUGAGCUCCCUCAUCCUUCCUCCUCUUCCCUCCUCUCUCUUCUUCAAGCAAAGGGAAUCUCCCACCUCCAUGAAGAAGGCGUCUCCAUUGCUUCUUUGGCCCCCACUGACAAAGCCACCAACUGGAUCUACCCAAAUUUGUCAUGAAGAUUGCUAAAGAGCUGCCAAACGCUGCUGCCACCCCCUCCAUUCCCAGACUGCUGCUUGUCACCAUUCUCAGCAAAAGUAGGGGCUGCUGCAGCCUCUCCUAGCUGUGGAGAAUCCCUCCCCCUCCCCAGAGACUGCCUCUGAUGGAUCCCCCUGGGGUUUCUUAGACUUUAGUUCCUGGAGAAUGUUCUCCAGUUUAUAUUUUUUAAACAUUGUUCAUAAAGAAGUACUUUAUUAUUCUUUUUCUCAAGAUGUGGGGAAAAUUAGCUCAUUAUCUAGGUCCUGCUAUGCUGUGUAUCUGAGGCACAUUGUGUAUUAUUCUGCUACUCUCGGCUUCAUUAAAAAUGAUUUAGAAGAGCA